rnacentral:rRNA from 1 species
CUGACCUCGGAUCAGGUAGGGAUACCCGCUGAACUUAAGCAUAUCAAUAAGCGGAGGAAA